rnacentral:lncRNA from 1 species
AGCGUUUAGAAGUUUUAGAAAUCAUUUUUAAUUGAAAAAAAAAGUCACGUGUCUAAUAACUAUAAAUAGGGGUCUUAAAGUCUUUACCAAAAGGAUAAAUAUGUUAUUAACAUUUUCAUUAAAAGUAGCAAAAAAAAAAAAUUAAUGUAUAGGCUUGACAAUUUUUUGCACGGCCUGUUAUACCGACAUGAAAGGACACGAAACUAAUAGGUUUUGGGUUAACCCGUUAAUGAGUCAGAUCGUUAUCAGGUCACCUGUUAAAGAGCUGGGUCAUUAUCAGGUCACCGUUAAGAUAUCGUUUGCCAGAUCUAGACAUUAAGCAUAACAAUUUCUAGCAUGACCUAUUAACCCGACACGAGAUGACACAACCUGUUAACGAAUCGGGCUAUAUGAAAUACCAUUCCCGGAUUUCACUAUUGUAAUUUAUGUUGGGAAUUGUUAUUGGCACUCUAAAAAUCUCAUUUUGCACUCUAAACUCACUAUAAUCAGAAACAAAAAUACACUUAUGAGGAGUCUAUAAUGAGAUUUUAGAGUGCUAAUAACAGUUCCCUUUACGUUUUAUGUAUUCGCGGGAUUUUAUAUUAUUUUCGUUAAUUUUAAACCUUUAGUUAACUAGUUACAAAGUUUAAAUUUUCGUAAGUAGUCAUUAAAAAUUUGUAGACCUUCUGGGAUUACUCUUAGUAUUUUCGAAUAUAGUUCAAUCCCACGAACUGAUGCGAAAUAUAUAAGCACACAAAUUAAACCCUCUUUUUAUCAAUUGUAGUAAAGUAUGUAAGUAGGGAUCGUUCUAGGCCGGGGAUUAGGAUGGAUUGCUAAAUCACUUGGAAACUGACUUGAAAACGUAAAAACAAAGUUUAAAACACUAACUAGACUCAAAGAAUGCAAAACUAUACUUUAAAACACUAAAACAAACCAAAAGACUCAAAACAGCCCCUAAACAUUCAAAACUACCUUAAACACACAAUCUGGGCAGUUUUGGGACUCUAACACAAACUUGGACGAAUUUUGGUUUUCUAAUGAACUAAAACACUUAAAAACAUAAUCUAAGACAAGUUCUAAUUAAUAUGACUCAAAGAAAUAAGAUGGGGUUUGAUUUUGGACGAAAAUAAUUAAAUUAAGACAAGAACAAAGUAAACAAAUUCUUAGACAAAUUUAAGUGAAUCAAAACAAAUUGUAAAAUGAAUUUGAAUGAAACUUAUGGGUGGAAGGCUAGUUAGGAGGUUCUUCUCCACACAUGUCACACUUGCAUACAAAACGAUUUCCAGUUGCUUUUCGAUAAGCUAUGAAUACUCAACGCCCCAAAUUAACCAUGAAUUGCACUAAUUAACCCUCAGUUUUUCCACAAGUUAUUGGGUUGGAUGAUUGCAUACGACAACCCAAAACGUUCCCUACAAGUUCCCUACAUGAAUUGCAUAAUAGAGAUACAAGCAAAAAUCAUUAAGUUCUAUGAAAAACAUAAGCAUUGACGAGGCACUCGUUACUAUGAUUUGUAUGAAACUUAUGCCAAGAAUUUACUUAACGUGAUUGUGACUAGCAACCUUCACUACUUGUGAAUAUAAGUUCAUA